CCUACGGGGUGCAGCAGUGGGGAAUAUUGGACAAUGGGCGAAAGCCUGAUCCAGCCAUGCCGCGUGUGUGAAGAAGGCCUUCGGGUUGUAAAGCACUUUCAGUGGGGAAGAAAGCCUUGGGGCUAAUACCCUCGAGGAAGGACAUCACCCACAGAAGAAGCACCGGCUAACUCCGUGCCAGCAGCCGCGGUAAUACGGAGGGUGCGAGCGUUAAUCGGAAUUACUGGGCGUAAAGCGCGCGUAGGCGGUCUGAUAAGCCGGUUGUGAAAGCCCCGGGCUCAACCUGGGAACGGCAUCCGGAACUGUCAGGCUAGAGUGCAGGAGAGGAAGGUAGAAUUCCCGGUGUAGCGGUGAAAUGCGUAGAGAUCGGGAGGAAUACCAGUGGCGAAGGCGGCCUUCUGGACUGACACUGACGCUGAGGUGCGAAAGCGUGGGUAGCAAACAGGAUUAGAUACCGAGUAGUC
rnacentral:rRNA from 1 species